GGAGUAUUGUUGCUGCUGCCCUG
rnacentral:miRNA from 15 species